AAUUGAGGGAAUGAGCGCAAGGACGAGGACACUCGCUAGUAAUGUACGUUGCCUGCAAAUGCAGAUAACAGGACUUAAGCCCAUAAAUUAUAGGACUUAAAUCUAUUAGAGGGUAUAUAAACUGGCGACGAGUGAAUAUUUUUGCUGUGUUUCGCAAGUUUCCUGAUGAUGCAGGAUGUACCGGGGACUUCUACGCUACAGACGGAAAGAGCUGAUGAUUACCUUCUCGUCCUUACGUUGCGUUUGUCGAAAUUAUGAAAAGAGGAUCCUUGUCUCUACCGCCGCUGAGCUCGAUGCUGAAGCUUCAGAAAGUUGGUUGAUGUAUUCAAAAAAGUCAUCGUUGUGAGCUUCAAAAAAUACAUUCUCUAGAUUAUGUGAAAAAAUGUCGUAAGGAGCUACAUGUGGACAGGAUUUCCUUCAGUCGCGGAAAACAACAUUUUUUUGUAGUUAAGUAAGACCAGCGAAAAAAUUGAGAACAAUAAAGGGGACAACGAUAUUUUCUUUACU